rnacentral:lncRNA from 1 species
CACGGGCCUCGUGCCUGUCUCUCAGUCCCUGCCUCAGUUGCUACGCCCUGAUUUCCAUCAUGGCCCUUUUGGCAGAGCCACCGGGAUGUCCUAUUUCUUGGAGCAGAAUGAAGUUACCAGCCCAUAGGAGGUCACGGCUGAGUCACCCCUUCUUGCCCUCAGCUCCAAGAGCACAUGGAAACGUGAAAAAGGCAUCAACGUCAUGGCUUAUAGUUUGCUUGGGGCAGCCAGAUCCCAGAGGGCCUGGGAGCCUGCAAAUGACACUUCCUGAACUCCAGUUAAGUUCAGCCAAUGGGAUAAAGUGGUGAGAGAUGGGAAGGCAUGAGGAAGGGAAUAGCAGCUUUCUCUGCUUCUGGAGGUGACUUCCGCAGUGGCAGCAGCCAUGGCGGCCCUAGGGUAGGCGUUCCAGCAGCAUCCCUGGGAGGGCAGGCUCCUUGGUUGUGGCUCAGUGGCAGCGUCCUGUCUCGGCAGCGGCAGUGGCAGCAGGCCUGUUUCGGCAGUGGCAGUGCUUCCAGCUGCUAACCAGCAAGUGUGUGCUUCUGGUUCCAGCCCACGGGCAGUAGCAGCUCCCUCAACUCAGAGCAUCGCCUUCUCCCUUUGCUCAUUCAUUUUUCCAAGACAUUUGUAACCAACUCCCUAAAUUAAACGGUCUUCUCCUUGAGGUGCCUAGACUGCCUUCUAUUUUCCUGAUUGGGCUCCAAUUGAUAUAGAGGGCAAUAAAUGGGGUAAUUAAUGUGAAACUUAUUUGCUUCUUCUUAUUGCAAGGGCCAGAGCAGAAAGGAAACUCCAAACCCAAACUCUCAGUGAUUCCCCCUUAGUGGAAAUCUGAUAUCAUCCCACCCAUCAGCUUGACUGCUUUAGGCCAGGCCACCUGUCACCCCAACUAGAGUUCAUGGGCAUCUUCAGAGACCAGGAUACACAAAAAAAAACCCACCCAAUGCUCUCCUCCACUCUCCACCUCCCUCCUCACCCACAAUCCUGUCUUAUUCUCUUGGCUACUAGGAAGUGCUUUUUGAUAAUCCGACUCAAUUCACUUUCUAUACUUCCCA